rnacentral:siRNA from 1 species
CGAGAGUUUCUUUUUUGCUUU